rnacentral:rRNA from 1 species
GAUGAACGCUGGCGGCGUGCCUAAUACAUGCAAGUCGAGCGAACAGACGAGGAGCUUGCUCCUCUGACGUUAGCGGCGGACGGGUGAGUAACACGUGGAUAACCUACCUAUAAGACUGGGAUAACUUCGGGAAACCGGAGCUAAUACCGGAUAAUAUAUUGAACCGCAUGGUUCAAUAGUGAAAGACGGUUUUGCUGUAACUUAUAGAUGGAUCCGCGCCGCAUUAGCUAGUUGGUAAGGUAACGGCUUACCAAGGCAACGAUGCGUAGCCGACCUGAGAGGAUGAUCGGCCACACUGGAACUGAGACACGGUCCAGACUCCUACGGGAGGCAGCAGUAGGGAAUCUUCCGCAAUGGGCGAAAACCUGACGGAGCAACGCCGCGUGAGUGAUGAAGGUCUUCGGAUCGUAAAACUCUGUUAUUAGGGAAGAACAAAUGUGUAAGUAACUAUGCACGUCUUGACGGUACCUAAUCAGAAAGCCACGGCUAACUACGUG